GCCGGUGUAGCUCAGUUGGUAGAGCAGCUCACUUGUAAUGAGAAGGUCGAGGGUUCGAUUCCUUUCUCCGGCACCA
rnacentral:tRNA from 4 species